rnacentral:rRNA from 1 species
AGCGGAAAGGCCCUUCGGGGUACUCGNAGCGGCGAACGGGUGAGUAACACGUGAGUAAUCUGCCCUGCGCUCUGGGAUAGCCACCGGAAACGGUGAUUAAUACCGGAUAGGACCACUUCACGCAUGUGAUGGUGGUGGAAAGUUUUUUCGGCGCAGGAUGUGCUCGCGGCCUAUCAGCUUGUUGGUGAGGUAACGGCUCACCAGGGCUUUGACGGGUAACCGGCCUGAGAGGGUGACCGGUCACACUAGGACUGAGACACGGCCCAGACUCCUACGGGAGGCAGCAGUGGGGAAUAUUGGACAAUGGGCGGAAGCCUGAUCCAGCAACGCCGCGUGAGGGAUGACGGCCUUCGGGUUGUAAACCUCUUUCAGUACCGACGAAGCGCAAGUGACGGUAGGUACAGAAGAAGGACCGGCCAACUACGUGCCAGCAGCCGCGGUAAUACGUAGGGUCCGAGCGUUGUCCGGAAUUAUUGGGCGUAAAGGGCUCGUAGGCGGUUUGUCGCGUCGGGAGUGAAAACACCGGGCUUAACUCGGUGCUUGCUUUCGAUACGGGCAGACUAGAGGUAUGCAGGGGAGAAUGGAAUUCCUGGUGUAGCGGUGAAAUGCGCAGAUAUCAGGAGGACACCGGUGGCGAAGGCGGUUCUCUGGCAUUACCUGACGC